UGUUAAAAAAUUCAUCUAAUUUUAUUAUUAAAAUUGACAUGAUUAACCAAACAAUUACAUGUAAUAUGCUAUAUGUACCUUAUGCUGAUGGACAUAAACUAGCUUUUAAUAGUAAAAAUGAAUGAAAAUCUUAACA
rnacentral:pre_miRNA from 1 species